UGAGUAACCUGCCCUUAACUCUGGGAUAAGCCUGGGAAACUGGGUCUAAUACCGGAUAUGACUCCUCAUCGCAUGGUGGGGGGUGGAAAGCUUUAUUGUGGUUUUGGAUGGGACUCGCGGCCUAUCAGCUUGUUGGUGAGGUAAUGGCUUACCAAGGCGACGACGGGUAGCCGGCCUGAGAGGGUGACCGGCCACACUGGGACUGAGACACGGCCCAGACUCCUACGGGAGGCAG
rnacentral:rRNA from 1 species